rnacentral:lncRNA from 1 species
GCUCAGUGUUGGUCCACGCGGCCGUCAGGAAGGUUGAAUUUUGUCGCUCUCUUUCUACGCCAACAUCACUUAACUCCGACUGAAAACAGUGACGAAACGGAAAUCUAUUGAUUAACAUACCUUGAUAAACGCGAAAGUUAUCUCGAUCGUUGAAACACAGCCACCGUUUUGCCGUGGGAAAGAGAGGACGAAACACGACAAGAAAGAAAAUAAAAAUAAUAAACAGAGAAAGAACAGGAAAAAAAUAAGUGUCAGACAUUAAAUACAACAAAAAUAAAGGUGAAUAAAAAGAGAUAGAGAGAGAAAGAGAGAGAGACAAAGAC